rnacentral:rRNA from 1 species
CACGUGGGUUACCUGCCUCUAAGGACUGGGAUACCAAUGGAAACGAUUGUUAAUACCGGAUGUGCUCUAACGGAGUAAAGAUGCCCUUAAAGCACCACUUAGAGAUGGGCCUGCGGCGCAUUAGCUAGUUGGUGGGGUAAUGGCCUACCAAGGCGACGAUGCGUAGCCGAACUGAGAGGUUGAUCGGCCACAUCGGGACUGAGACACGGCCCAGACUCCUACGGGAGACAGCAGUUAGGAAUAUUCGUCAAUGGGGGCAACCCUGAACGAGCAAUGCCGCGUGAGUGAUGACGGUCCCUCUGGAUUGUAAAACUCUGUUGUUUAGGAAAAAUUGCAUAUGUAGGAAAUGACAUGUGUUUGAUGGUACUAUUCAAGAAAGCCACGGCUAACUACGUGCCAGCCGCCGC